rnacentral:rRNA from 1 species
AACGAACGCUGGCGGCAGGCUUAACACAUGCAAGUCGAGCGCACUCUUCGGAGUGAGCGGCGGACGGGUUAGUAACGCGUGGGAACGUGCCCUUCUCUAAGGAAUAGCCACUGGAAACGGUGAGUAAUACCUUAUACGCCCUUCGGGGGAAAGAUUUAUCGGAAUUGGAUUAGCCCGCGUUAGAUUAGAUAGUUGGUGGGGUAAUGGCCUACCAAGUCUACGAUCUAUAGCUGGUUUGAGAGGAUGAUCAGCAACACUGGGACUGAGACACGGCCCAG